rnacentral:rRNA from 1 species
GGGGAAUUUUGGACAAUGGGCGCAAGCCUGAUCCAGCCAUGCCGCGUGAGUGAAGAAGGCCUUCGGGUUGUAAAGCUCUUUCGGCCGGGAAGAAAUCGUAUAGGUUAAUACCCUGUGCGGAUGACGGUACCGGCAUAAGAAGCACCGGCUAACUACGUGCCAGCAGCCGCGGUAAUACGUAGGGUGCGAGCGUUAAUCGGAAUUACUGGGCGUAAAGCGUGCGCAGGCGGUUUUGUAAGACAGGCGUGAAAUCCCCGGGCUCAACCUGGGAACUGCGUUUGUGACUGCAAGGCUAGAGUAUGGCAGAGGGGGGUGGAAUUCCACGUGUAGCAGUGAAAUGCGUAGAGAUGUGGAGGAACACCGAUGGCGAAGGCAGCCCCCUGGGCCAAUACUGACGCUCAUGCACGAAAGCGUGGGUAGCAAAC